CUGCUCCUGUCAUCUCUAAGCUCCUCACACAUCUUUACCUGCACAUGAGGAAAAUCACUCCUGUAGAAUGCAGAUGUUCAGAGGGAGAUGAUGCCACAUCUGGUCCAGCUGAUGGAAGGUCUUGAAGUUCUCUGACUGGCCUCGACUGAAGAUGGUCGUCUCACUGGAUUUAAGGUUCAGAUGCUCAGUAACAAACUCCACCAAUGAGCCAACAGGGAAGCUUUAGGUUUAUUAAAUGUUGCUAUGAAGGUAUCGCUGUUUUUCUUUGUGAAUGCAAUGUGCUCCAACUGAAACUUGAAUUAGAACUUAGAAGUAAAUCCUUCCAUCUGAAAGGAUUUAGUUGCAUUAAUAACCUCAUAACAUUCUAAUUUUUAUUCCAGUCUUGGUUGGAAAUAGAAUCUCUGUAUUGAUUCAGGUAAAAACUGAACUUCACAGCAUGUUGGAGCAAAACAACCAGAUGAAAACUGUGAUGGUGUUGGAUUGUCAGACCGUAAUGUUGCAGCUCAAAGCAGCUUUUCUAUCUCAGUUCAUUCUGACAUUCAGCUAUGAAUCAACACAGCAGAUGGUGAUCCAUGCUGUGGAAGUCUCACAUCUCCUGAUUUAAUGGAGCUGCUUUGCACUUUUUACACUGUUUAUUCACCAACACUUUAUUUAAUAAAAGUCCCAUCUAGUUUUUAUGAGGAAUGUGAUGUUUUAAUUUCUCUGUGAAUAACUGCAGUCUAAUGCAACAGCUGGAGUUGUAACAUCUGUCCUGAUAUUGAUCAUGAAGUAUUGAUCAGAAUACUUAUGGUCAGCAGUCAUCCCUGAAGUUUUAUAUUAAAAUCUUUACUUGUGUUGUGAACUUUGGUAAGAAGCAGAAACGUUAGCGUUGCCAUGGAUACAUGAGUGUUAAAUUCUGUCCAUGUUUCCAUUUUGGGAAAUUCAGUCCAGUUCCAGAAUGUGGAGGAAUUUAGUCUCACAAUCACAGACAACAAAUAUUAUCUGAAAGUCGGGUUAUUGUUGUUUAUCAGCACAAUACAAAAAGAUUAAUGUUAGAAAUAUUCCAGUUAAGACUCUAGAAUAUCAUGAUUUAUGUAAAUUUACCUCAAUAAUAUGAAUGUUCAGGUUAAGAUUGUACAGUGAUAUUUAUUAUGCAAGUUUAGCUGAUUAAAGUUUAUGACUCUGCACUAAAAUAUUAUUUAAAUUGACAUCAUUAUUAUAAUAUUUAGGGUCAGACCCUACAGUAUUGAGAUUAAGAAAUCAAAUAUUCUAUAAAAUGUAAAUACACUGAACUCAUUUGGAUAUAUUUAAGUGAGACUCUACAAUAUUAUUUGACACAAAUCUAUCUAAAUCAAAAUUUUAAUAAUUUUCACGCCAAACAUUUACUGGACUGAUUUAAACAUUAAAAUCACUCCUUUCUAAUCCUCUGCUGUACGUUCAAACCUGAGGCCUUAAAUAGAAACACACAAGUAUCUGAUUGAAGGAACUUCUGCAGAGUCCUGGUUCCAGAACAUGAUGAUAGAAUUAUAGACAAACUUUAACAAAAGCUGCCUGAGAGUUUACAGGUUUUUAUGUUAGAUUUCUUCAGUAAUUUAAUGAGAGUUAUCAGCAAAAAUCAAGUGUUCAUUUGAUGAACUUCAUUUCCUAAAACAUCCAGAAUUGGAGCUCAUAUCUUUGGCAGCUGUAAAGUUUCUGCUCCUUCAAAGUUCACAACACAAUGAAUGAAUUCCUAAAACACUCUCAAUGCUGGAGAGCGUUUGUGAUGCUGAAGCAGUGACCAGUUUUUCUGUUUCUUCUCUGGAGAUGCACAAUGAGGGACGUCUGCAGAGACUGAGAAAGAGUCUCACCACAUCCUGACAUGAGGAAAAAGACUUUAUUGAAGACUACAAUGAGAAAAACUAUCAGACAGCAGACGGCUGCAUUCAAGGUGAGCUCUGAACAUUUGAUCUGGAACAGGAAUUCAAUAACGGCAGCAUGAGCUUCAUUUCAGUCUGUAGCUGCUGAAUUCAUGGAUGAAUCAUCUGGCACUAGAGAAGAAGACCAUCAAACAUCCACGUCAGCUGAUGGAGGUCCAAGAGUCUCACCAAACAAACAACCUACAGAGUGAAGACCUCAAAUCUGAUUGGACGGCCUCCUAUUCAGCCACAUUUUAGGCUGUUAGAUUGUUCCAGAUAAGACAAGUACAAGAUUCUUCAGAGCCGUUCUACCACGAGCCUGACAGGAAGAACUCCAACAGCUACUGAAUGUUCCUGUGGUCCCCUCAAGGCUACAGGAGGAGCCCUACGAGGACGAGCCGGUCCACCUGAUGGUGGCCAGUCGCUGUGGUUCAAAGCCAACACCGACUACGUGGACUUCUACUGGACCACACGGAGGCCUUCAAACCAGACCAACAAGUUCAGCGACUCCCCGACUCGUGGGUCUGAGGACGCCGCCGAGCCUCGGUCCAGCCGGCCUCCUGUCUGUGGGUGUUUGAGUGCUGAGAGGUUUGUGGAUGCAUGUGAACGUGUCUGUGUUGAAACAGCAGCUUUUGACUCAGUAACGCCGGGAAAAACAAAGAGAUCCUUUAUUUGUGACUUCCACUAAAAAAACUGAAGAAAAUAAGUUUGCCAGGGUUCUGACUGAUAACAGAUUAUUAAAUAAUGAAAAUAAUCGUUUAAAUAUUCCUUUAAACAAUCCUUUUAGGUCUACAUUUCCUUUACACUGACUUCUUGGUAUAUGUACAAUUAUUUUGGGUGGAAUAUACCAUUAAGCCUGAUGUUCAAGGGUUCUUCUGGGAAUAUACCAUUAAACCAACCUUUUAGGUAAAUGUUCCAGGAUGUUGGGUAGAAUAUACCAUCAGAUCAAACUUUUACAUCUACAUUGGAAGAUUUUAAAGUAGAAUAUUACUCCAAACCAUCCUUUAGGUCUACAUUUAAGGUGGAAUACUCCUUUACACCAAGAUUUUUUGGUCUACAUUGAAGGAUUUUAGGUGGAAUAUUCCUUUGAACAAACUUU